CUCUUCAUUAGAGCUACAAACGAUUUCUUGUAGUAUAUAAUUAUUGAUGAAAUUUUAUGAUGCAAGAAACAGAAUCCGUUCUGAAUAUAAUUGAUUCUCAAAACACACGAAAACUGUAUUUAUUGUAACUAUCAACGAAAGUUCCUCUAUGAAAUUAAGCUAGUAAAAAUAGAUGGAUUUGUUUGAACAGUAUAAUGCAGCCAACUGGCUGUGGUCAGAGAUGGAAAAUAAUAUUAAUUCUUUUCAUUAUAUACAAAAGUCGUUUAUCUGCAGUCAAAUAACGAAUCGAGAUAAUUAGUUGAACUCUGUUGCUCCCAUAGCCUUGCUUACACUGUCAGAGUUCCUGUGAUCACAGCAGAAAUUUUGGAUCGGCAAAUUCUAAGUUUUGAAGGAUUUGUAAGAAAUGUUUGAGGAAACAGUUGCCUCAAACAUUUCUUGCGAAUCCUUUAAAACUUACCUGUGCAGAAUUCCUACUGUGAUCACAGAAACUUUGGUAGUGUAAACCUCAAGUGACAACAUUGCUUUGUAACACUUACUGAAGCGAGCACAAAUAAAAUUGUAUCUAUUGCUACGUAGACGGUGGUGUCUGUGCACUCUCUGAAGCAAUGGGCGGUAAAUGGAACAUGGUGUAGGGUCCAGCGAUAGACGGCACUGUGUGUUUAUCAAAUAAUUCCACAUCCACUGCAGAAAUGCCCACAGUUGCUCGAGGCCGUGACACCUGGGUGCAAGUUAGUGAAGCCCUCCGUCUUGUUAAUUUAUCAAUGUCGCCUUCUUUUGGAACAACGAUACUAAGUGAAGAAACCUUCCUCGUCUUAACCUCAAUAUCUCCUGAACGGAGUAUAUUUCUGGACUGUCUGCCAGUGAAUGUCGGAGCCGACCUAAGUCUUCGCAAGGAACCUUCAGUAGAUGGUCUUUCGUUAGGAAUAGUUCUCUCUAGUGGCUUUUUACCACUUUUUAUUCUAUAAUGGAGCUUGUCUUCUUUUAAU
rnacentral:lncRNA from 1 species